CACGGGGGGAGCAAGCGUUGUUCGGAAUCACUGGGCGUAAAGGGCGUCUAGGCGGUCAGAUAAGUGGGAUGUGAAAUGCCCCGGCUCACCCGGGGACCGGCAUCCCAAACUGUCUGGCUUGAGUAUGGGAGAGGAUGUGGGAAUUCCUGGUGUAGCGGUGAAAUGCGUAGAUAUCUGGAGGAACACCGGUGGCGAAGGCGGCAUCCUGGACCAACACUGACGCUGAUGAGCGAAAGCCAGGGGAGCAAACAGG
rnacentral:rRNA from 1 species